rnacentral:ncRNA from 1 species
AAUGAAUUUUAUUCUUGUUUAGAAAUUUGCUAUUAUUUAAUUUUAUAUGUUUAUGGUUGUUUGCCUUGAUCUAAAUGGUCUGUUAGUUAAAUAUCAGUAAAUAAAAUUAAUAUUUUGGUAAUUCAAUAAUUAGUUAUAGUAUGAGUAUUGAUAGAAUAUGUGCCAGCAUUCGCGGUUAUACAUGAAAUACUAGUGAAUUAAAUCAGUUAAUUAGUUAUUUAUAAGAAUAUAAUAUAAGUUAGUAAUUUUUAGGUGAAAUUUAAAUUUUAUGAGAUAUUAAUUAAUAUGAAAGAAGCUAUGAAAUUUAAUUAGAUAGACUAGGAUUAGAUACCCUAUUAUUUUAGAUGUAAAGUUAGUUGAACUGGAGUAGUAUUAGUUAUGACCUUGAAACUUAAAGAAUUUGGCGGUAUUUUAGUCUAUUUAGAGGAAUCUGUCCCUUAAUCGAUAGUCCACGUUGAACCUUACUUGAUUUAAAGUAUGUAUACCGCCGUUGUUGAAAAUCUUUUUAGAGUGAUUUUCUUGAUUUUUUAUUAGUAAAUAUUUCAGGUCAAGGUGCAGCUGAUAAUUGAGUGGAGAUGGAUUACAGUGUUAGUAGACAGACGGAUUGAGUAUUAAAAUUUAAUUGAAGGUGGAUUUAAUUGUAAAUUUGUGAAGAUUUUCAAAUUGAUAAAAGCUCUAAAAUGUGCACACAUCGCCCGUCGCUCUCGUUAAUUAAAAUGAGAUAAGUCGUAACAAAGUAGGUGUACCGGAAGGUGUAGCUAGAACGUC